GCGUUGUUCGGAAUUACUGGGCGUAAAGGGCGCGUAGGCGGCCCGCUAAGUCGAACGUGAAAUCCCUGGGCUCAACCCAGGAACUGCGUCCGAUACUGGCAGGCUUGAAUCCGGGAGAGGGAUGCGGAAUUCCAGGUGUAGCGGUGAAAUGCGUAGAUAUCUGGAGGAACACCGGUGGCGAAGGCGGCAUCCUGGACCGGUAUUGACGCUGAGGCGCGAAAGCCAGGGGAGCAAACGGG
rnacentral:rRNA from 1 species